GCUUUCCCCCAGCUACUACUGGGUGAUAAGCGAAGGUCACUUGGUUGCCGCCGAGUGGCCUUCUUUCGUCUUUAGUAU
rnacentral:antisense_RNA from 1 species